CAGACCUAUAAUCGGAAAAGACUACCCGCUGAGUUUAAGCAUAUCACUAAGCCGG
rnacentral:rRNA from 1 species